GAUCCCAGUGCCACAGUGGUGGGCUCGCUCUGUGUGCCUGCUUUCAUUUCACUGUGGUGUGUAUGUGUCCGUGUGUGUGUGUGUGUGUGUGCUACGUAAGAGCCUGUGCAACUACAGGGCAUGAAGACGGGGGACAAAUGGAUUCCAUGUUUGCAGGAAAACAUGCUGGAGGCACAGGAAAACUUUGUUGUUUAUGAAGAACACGUGAAACCAAUCAAAUCUGAAUUAUCUUCCUGUUGUUCCAGCUUUUGUCGUUUGCAGUUUUUAGUUCGCUCGUCAGCAGUGUCGCCACCCAGCGAGCAGGUCUGGGCCUGUGCAAGAAAGAUGGUUAAAGGAGCUUUCCAACUUACAUGAAGGGAAAGUGAAAGGAUAGAGACUUACUUAUUUGACUGAGUGUUGUCCCAUAAGGAUUACCUUCCCAGCUUCCUGGUUUCCAUUUCUCCGCUGUCAGUGAAUGCAACAUUUCCCUGUCCCGAUGGAGGUCCAAAGAGACGAACAUGCAAUAAUCCGCUCCAGUCGUCCAGAAUCAGCGGGCCUUCGGAGUCCAGGCUCGGUCCCGGGACUCUUUGGCUUUCAUCUCAAUGUGAGUCAGGAGUUGAUUCAAACAUGGAGUGAUGGGAGAAUUAACCCCUGGGACCCAGCUUUCAAUGGGCUCAGCUAAGAGAUUAUAUGUGUUGAUGGCAGGCUUUUAUAUGCACUGGGCUUUCAAAACUUCAGCUGUUAAAUCAAGGCACAGGAUCGUCACCUUAUGUCUUUAGUAUAUGUACCCCCUCUUCUGUCUCCAAGCACCUCAUGUUGCAGUUUUCUCACCUGAAAAUGUGCGUGAGACUGAGUAACAUUUCCUCUGAAGUGACACGGCCCACAACUUUACAAAUUACACUGUACAUGUUCUGAGCCGGAGGACUCUCAUCAGACUGCCACUGGGAGUUUACAUUCAAUGUGCAGCCUCAGAUUCCCAGGACUGUCACUGAGCCUUUUGGAUUCAAGCUCUUUUGUAAUUGCAUGUAAAGAUAGAUGAAACAGUGCUUGAGUAGAAGUGCACACACACAUGAAUGGAGG